rnacentral:rRNA from 1 species
AGUGAACGCUGGCGGUAGGCCUAACACAUGCAAGUCGAACGGCAGCACAGGAGAGCUUGCUCUCUGGGUGGCGAGUGGCGGACGGGUGAGGAAUACAUCGGAAUCUACUUUUUCGUGGGGGAUAACGUAGGGAAACUUACGCUAAUACCGCAUACGACCUACGGGUGAAAGCAGGGGACCUUCGGGCCUUGCGCGAUUGAAUGAGCCGAUGUCGGAUUAGCUAGUUGGCGGGGUAAAGGCCCACCAAGGCGACGAUCCGUAGCUGGUCUGAGAGGAUGGUCAGCCACACUGGAACUGAGACACGGUCCAGACUCCUACGGGAGGCAGCAGUGGGGAAUAUUGGACAAUGGGCGCAAGCCUGAUCCAGCCAUACCGCGUGGGUGAAGAAGGCCUUCGGGUUGUAAAGCCCUUUUGGUGGGAAAGAAAUCCAGCCGGUUAAUACCUGGUUGGGAUGACGGUACCCAAAGAAUAAGCACCGGCUAACUUCGUGCCAGCAGCCGCGGUAAGAC